rnacentral:rRNA from 1 species
GACGUAGGGCGCGAGCGUUGUCCGGAUUUAUUGGGCGUAAAGAGCUCGUAGGCGGCUUGUUACGUCGACUGUGAAAACCCGCGGCUCAACCGCGGGCCUGCAGUCGAUACGGGCAGGCUAGAGUUCGGUAGGGGAGAAUGGAAUUCCCGGUGUAGCGGUGAAAUGCGCAGAUAUCGGGAGGAACACCGGUGGCGAAGGCGGUUCUCUGGGCCUUACCUGACGCUGAGGAGCGAAAGCGUGGGGAGCAAACAGG